UCUGCCAGGAGCCACCAUUAGACAAGGCAACACUGGAUGGUUUUGACCCUGAAAAUGAAUUUUAGGAGGAUUUUCCUAGUCAAGUGCUUGCUUCUUUUAUUUGCCAGUGUAAAAUGCUCUGUCACCAAAUGGAUUUACGCGGCCGUAAAUGAGUCGGUUCUUCUCAGUACCCCCACUGCUGGGAGCAUAUAUGAUGCAACAUGGGUGAGAGACAGGAAAAAGUUGCUUCAGAUAAAAGAUAAGAAAGUUACGUACUAUGUGAGGAAGGAACAGUGCAGGUGUAAGGUAUUCAUGAACGGGAGUCUGCAAAUAGAGCAGGUGGUGAAACAGGACAGUGGACAGUACAGGGUGACUGUUUAUCACCAGGAUGGAAAAUUGCACACAGAAGAAGAGACAGAGUUCAUCGUUCAGGAGCCUGUCCCUCAGCCUAUCCUCAAUGCUGAAUGCAUAAAUAAAACCAUAUCUGUCAAGUGUGAAGCGCGGCAGAAGACUAAGGACGAAACAUUUAUAAUAGAACUGACUCAAGAUAAAAGCAAAAAAAUCCAAAAGAAUGCAACAAGCUUAGAAUUGCACACACGGUAUUCUGGGAUGUUCAGAUGUGUUGUUAAGAACCAAGUCAGCGAAAAAGCAGCUGAAAAAGUAAUUAAGUGCUCAGGCCAGCUGGACCUUUAUCUCAUCUUAAGCAUAGCAGGAGGUGCAAUCUUCUUUGUCAUCUUCAUGAUUUUGCUUAUUUAUUGUAUCAAGAAGAAGAAAGCAAAAAGGCUUGAAGAUGAUGACGAGGAGCGAAUGCCGCAGGCUCGCCAGGCAGACAGUGAAAUGGUGGUGCGGGAGCUCCCUCGGCCGCCGUGCAAUCCUGCCCCGAAGCAGCUGUGUGUGCAGCAGCGGCCGCUGCCGCAGCCCCAGGUGCAGCAGCAAGCACUGCCCCCGCGGCCCAGGCCCCGCACCCAGCAGCGGCCUCCAAACCACCCGAGACAAAGACCUUGAACGUCUGCCCUGGGGAGGACGGUGGCCUCUCUGCUCCACCAUCCACUGGGAAAAGAAAGUUCCCAAUCGUCAGGAACCCCUCCUGCCCAGCCUUGCGUAACGCUCAGCUAUGAAACGGCAGCUUCCGUUGCACAGAAUUAGAGAGAGCACCGAAUGGAGAUGAAGAGACCCAGUGGAGGAGAUUCAAGGGCCUCCUGCUGAUGAUGAAGGACCAUAUCCCUUGAUUCUGCUGGUAAGAACCUCAUGUAUAACCAGGUCAUGACAGAGAACUGCUGAGAGCUCUCCCUCCCCAAGGGAGAGGUUGGACUGCAGUAAUUGCGCCUGAAUCACCCUCCAUGUGCUGGACAAACACUGCUCGCUCCUCUGGUCCUUGGAGAUGUUCAUAAUUGUCUCUACGGGACAGCUAAGGAGCCAAGAAAGGACAGGGCUUUUUAGAGCAAUGUCUGAAUGGGUACACUGGUCCAUCUGGUGUAAGAGCAGCACAGGCAGAGGAGGAGAGAGCUGUGAGAGCUGCAGACUAUGAGACGUCCAGCUAGCACACUGUUGCAUUAGGCAGAAGGUGUAGCACCUCCUUCAGGCUUGACUAUCCUACACAUGCCAGGGGAGAUAAAACAGCCAUCCUUUGUUUCUCCUCAGAAAUGUGACUAUUUUUAUCUUCUGGUACAAAGGCAGGGAAGUAACUUGUCAGGGAGGAGGAGGUCUCUGCUUCCUCCAGAGCUCAGUCACUUUGCUUGAACUCCGACGGCGGACACAGCCCUGGGAGCAUCGCUUGCUCUUGCCUUAGCUUUCUGCAGCUUGUUUCAGGGCUUUCGCUGUUUAAAGUUGCAUUUGGUAAACAUUUCAUUGUUUAUUUUGUGACACACGCUAUAUCCCUGUAGUGAAUGAAUAAAGAUAAGAGUGAGUGGAGAGGA